GUCUUCGUAGCUCAGUUGGUAGAGCAAUUGACUCUUAAUCAAUGGGUCCAGGGUUCGAGCCCCUGCGAGGACACC
rnacentral:tRNA from 1 species